rnacentral:sRNA from 1 species
AUAUCUCUCUGUACGGGAAGGAUGAGAAGCUUCGACCAAGGUUCGAUUCGAGCGCAGCGAGAAAGCGUUGCCGCAGGCAACGACCCGAAGGGCAAAGCGCGCAGCGCUGAGUCAUCCUUCCCCCACCACCA